rnacentral:rRNA from 1 species
GACGAACGCUGGCGGCGUGCUUAACACAUGCAAGUCGAACGGAAAGGCCCUGCUUGCAGGGUACUCGAGUGGCGAACGGGUGAGUAACACGUGGGUGAUCUGCCCUGCACUUCGGGAUAAGCCUGGGAAACUGGGUCUAAUACCGGAUAGGAGCCAUUUUUAGUGUGAUGGUUGGAAAGUUUUUUCGGUGUAGGAUGAGCUCGCGGCCUAUCAGCUUGUUGGUGGGGUAAUGGCCUACCAAGGCGGCGACGGGUAGCCGGCCUGAGAGGGUGGACGGCCACAUUGGGACUGAGAUACGGCCCAGACUCCUACGGGAGGCAGCAGUGGGGAAUAUUGCACAAUGGGCGCAAGCCUGAUGCAGCGACGCCGCGUGGGGGAUGACGGCCUUCGGGUUGUAAACUCCUUUCGCUAGGGACGAAGCUUUUUAUGACGGUACCUAGAUAAGAAGCACCGGCUAACUACGUG